CUCCCGUUGAUCCCGCCGGACCCGACUGCUAUCAGAAUGAGAUUAAGCCAUGCGAGUCAACGUAGCAAUACGUGGCACACGGCUCAGUAACACGUAGUCAACAUAACCAGAGGACGUGGAUAAACUCGGGAAACUGAGGCUAAACCGCGAUAGACCAAGAUACCUGGAAUGGUUUUUGAUCAAAAUCUAUAUGGCCUUUGGAUUGGACUGCGACCGAUCAGGCUGUUGGUGAGGUAAUGGCCCACCAAACCAGUAACCGGUACGGGCUUUGAGAGAAGGAGCCCGGAGAUGGGCACUGAGACAAGGGCCCAGGCCCUAUGGGGCGCAGCAGGCGCGAAAACUCUGCAAUAGGCGAAAGCUUGACAGGGUUACUCUGAGUGAUGCCCGCUAAGGGCAUCUUUUGGUACCUCUAAAAAUGGUGCAGAAUAAGGGGUGGGCAAGUCUGGUGCCAGCAGCCGCGGUAAU
rnacentral:rRNA from 1 species